rnacentral:tRNA from 1 species
CGUCUCGCUCGGCCUGGUCGCCAAGACCAUCGCGUCCUGGGGCGACGAGGAGCAGAAGCGGCAGUGGCUGCCCCGGCUCACCUCCGGCGAGGCGA